AGAGAAGGUGUUCAAAGAAGGAGAUUUUGUUAUGAUCUACUUGCUCAAAGAAAGGUUUCCCGCUGGCACUUAUAACAAGCUUCAACCUCGUAAAUAUGGUCCAUACAAAGUGCUUCGAAAGAUCAAUAAUAAUUCCUACGUCAUUGACUUGCCUGAAUCAAUGGGAAUUUCGAAGACCUUCAAUGUAAGUGAUAUCCAUGAAUUUCGAGCAGAUGAGCAUGCUUCCUAUCCUGAUAUAAACUCGAGGACGAGUUCUUCUCAAGUGGGGGAGAUUGAUGUAGAACGACUUGCAGAAGAGUUCGAGGAGCAGCUGGAACAUCAACGUCGUAAGCAAGUUUAAGUUUCCUAUUAUUCUUAAGAUUAUGAUUUAUUAUUCAAUAAGGAUGUCUAGUUCCAAUAGGUUUUGUUAUUUCCUAGUUCUAUUCUAAAUAGGAUUUAGUCAUAAGUUAGAGCAUAUAUAAGACACCCUCUAUGUUGUAUUAGGCAUUCAACAAUUCAAUAAUAUUUUAGAAAACUCAGAGAUUUAUCUCACUUAUCACCUUCAAAUUUGGUUCGAUGCUUGUCUACCAAUCUCACCUUUCUACAUACACAUUCUUCCCAAAACGAAUACGAUUCAACCCUAUGUCCAAGAAUUAAAGAAGGUUGAUGAUGAAAUAUGGAAUAAGAGUCCAAAUCGGUCUUUUUCGCAUACCAAUCUCAAGUUUCCAUAUGUCUUGUAUAAACCCAUAAAAGGUUUCAAAGCAGGUGGAACGCUGAUGGUAUAUCCCACCGAAGAGGAGGCUUUAGCCGCUUUUCAAGCUAUCAAACCAUUACUUGAAUACUAUAGGUGCCGAUGUCAAGCUGUUUGGGUCAUUUCAUACAUUCAUCUAGAUACCUACUUGGGUUGUUAGGUGAAGCAAGGGAUUUGUAAUAUAGAUCAAAUUCAACAGUGGUUUUCUCUAAACCAUCCGGUUUCUUAUGAUCUCCCCGACACCCUUAAAUUCUUCAACAAUCUAGGGCGUCUGGUAGAUAGCAAAGAAUGAUUGAAUCUCUGCAAAAACCCAACUUAUUGUGUGAACAUUAAGAGAGAGAUCCGUGAUUGGAGAAAAU
rnacentral:lncRNA from 1 species